rnacentral:rRNA from 1 species
UGACGAGUGGCGAACGGGCGCGUAUUCACGUACACGACCUACCUUCAAGAGGGGGAUAGCCCUGGGAAACUGGGAUUAAUACCGCAUAGUAUUAUUUGGCUGCAUGGCUGAAUAAUUAAAGCUUAGGCGCUUGAAGAUGGGUGUGCGUUCCAUUAGGUAGAUGGUGAGGUAACGGCUCACCAUGCCUACGAUGGAUAGCGGGUCUGGGAGGAUGAUCCGCCACACGGGCACUGAGACACGGGCCCGACUCCUACGGGAGGCAGCAGUAAGGAAUAUUGGACAAUGGGCGCAAGCCUGAUCCAGCCAUCCCGCGUGGAGGAUGACUGCCCUAUGGGUUGUAAACUCCUUUUAUUUGAGAAGAAACGCCUGGAUUUAUCCGGGCCUGACGGUAUCUUAUGAAUAAGCACCGGCUAACUCCGUGCCAGCAGCCGCGGUAAUACGGAGGGUGCAAGCGUUAUCCGGAAUCACUGGGUUUAAAGGGUGCGUAGGUGGUUUAGUAAGUCAGAUGUGAAAGCCCGGCGCUCAACGUCGGAAUUGCAUUUGAUACUGCUGAACUUGAAUCAGGUUGAGGUGGGCGGAAUGUG